rnacentral:rRNA from 1 species
AGCGAACGCUGGCGGCAGGCUUAACACAUGCAAGUCGAGCGGGCAUCCUUGUGGUGUCAGCGGCAGACGGGUGAGAAACGCGUGGGAACGUGCCCUUCGGUUCGGAAUAACUCAGGGAAACUUGAGCUAAUACCGGAUACGUGCGAGAGCAGAAAGGUUUAUCUGCCGAAGGAUCGGCCCGCGUCUGAUUAGCUAGUUGGUGAGGGUAUGGCUCACCAAGGCGACGAUCAGUAGCUGGUCUGAGAGGAUGACCAGCCACGCUGGGACUGAGACACGGCCCAGACUCCUACGGGAGGCAGCAGUGGGGAAUAUUGUGCAAUGAGGGCAACCCUGACACCGCCAUGCCGCGUGAGUGGUGCCGGCCUUAGGGUUGUAAAGCUCUUUUCUCCGGGACGAUAAUGACGGUACCGGAAGAAUAAGCCCCGGCUAACUUCGUG